UACGUAGGGGGCAAGCGUUGUCCGGAUUUAUUGGGCGUAAAGAGCGUGUAGGCGGCCUGGUAGGUCAGCUGUGAAAACUCGGGGCUCAACCCCGAGCCUGCAGUCGAUACGGGCAGACUAGAGUGCGGUAGGGGAGACUGGAAUUCCUGGUGUAGCGGUGAAAUGCGCAGAUAUCAGGAGGAACACCGGUGGCGAAGGCGGGUCUCUGGGCCGUAACUGACGCUGAGGAGCGAAAGCGUGGGGAGCGAACAGG
rnacentral:rRNA from 1 species